rnacentral:rRNA from 1 species
UACAGAGGGUGCGAGCGUUGUCCGGAAUCACUGGGCGUAAAGGGCGCGUAGGCGGCCUGGUAAGUAGGAGGUGAAAUUCUGCGGCUUAACCGCAGAGCUGCCUUCUAAACUGUCAGGCUUGAGCACGGUAGAGGCUGGUGGAAUUCCCGGUGUAGCGGUGGAAUGCGUAGAGAUCGGGAAGAACAUCGGUGGCGAAGGCGGCCAGCUGGGCCGUUGCUGACGCUGAGGCGCGAAAGCGUGGGGAGCAAAC